CGUGAGGAACCUGCCUCUGAGAGUGGGAUAGCUUCUGGAAACGGAUGGUAAUACCGCAUAACAUAGCGAAACCGCAUGAUUUUGCUAUCAAAGUAUUUCGCUCAGAGAUGGCCUCGCGUCUGAUUAGAUAGUUGGUGAGGUAACGGCUCACCGAGUCGACGAUCAGUAGCCGGACUGAGAGGUUGAACGGCCACAUUGGGACUGAGACACGGCCCAG
rnacentral:rRNA from 1 species